AUUGAACGCUGGCGGAAUGCUUUACACAUGCAAGUCGAACGGGCUUGGGGGCUUGCUCCCGGGUUAGUGGCGAACGGGUGAGUAAUAUAUCGGAACAUGUCCGGAAGUGGGGGAUAACGUAGCGAAAGUUACGCUAAUACCGCAUAUGCCCUGAGGGGGAGAGGAGGGGAUCGCAAGACCUUUCGCUUUCGGAGGGGCCGAUAUCGAAUUAGCUAGUAGGUGAGGUAAAGGCUCACCGAGGCGACGAUCCGUAGCUGGUCUGAGAGGACGACCAGCCACACUGGAACUGAGACACGGUCCAGACUCCUACGGGAGGCAGCAGUGGGGAAUUUUGGACAAUGGGCGCAAGCCUGAUCCAGCCAUGCCGCGUGCGGGAAGAAGGCCUUCGGGUUGUAAACCGCUUUUGUCGGGGAAGAAAUACGCCGGGCUAACAUCCUGGCGGGAUGACGGUACCCGAAGAAUAAGCACCGGCUAACUACGUGCCAGCCGCCGCCGUAAAAC
rnacentral:rRNA from 1 species